AGGGAAACGACUCAAAUCCAGUGGAACCUUUACACUUGUCCAUAUUGAGAAGUUCUGGACCAGUGAAUUCAACUGGGGCCUGACUCUGACUUGUUGUGAGACUGUAGAUAAUCCAGCAAGUUUGCAGGCCAAAUGGCUUUCUGAAUGUGAGCCCACAAAGCAUUGAAUCAGACGGUGUAGUGCUUCGGAAGAUUCCAGCACAGUUCAGCCACAAGUCCACUGAGACGGAAUAUGCCUCCUCCCUCUGGGCUGGCCCUUCCCGUAUUAUCCUCUUGCUCUUCCGUUUCCUGAAGCUGUGAUGCCAGGUCCCAAGCCAGCCUCGGGUGUCACAGAAUCAUCUCACCAGAUCCUGGCCUACACUCCAGCCCCUGUGUACUGCCAGAGCGGCACAGAAAGAUCAAAUGACUCCAGGAAUCCAGAAGGAGAAACAGCCAGCCUGAUGUUGGGUUCCAGGGUUGUGUGGAGAUUCCUACAUGCCACCUUCUUCCUUCAGGGUAUGCUGAGAACUGCAGCUGCUGGGAAAUUGCCAGAUCCCUCCCCUUCCCCCUGGCAGUGUCUUCUACUUGAGAGUUGUGCUCCAUCAGAUCCAGUGGCCCCUAGUGGCAGCCAGCAGUUCUGCUGCCCA